GAAGCCGGAAUUGCUAGUAAUGGCAGGUCAGCAUACUGCCGUGAAUACGUUCCCGGGCCUUGUACACACCGCCCGUCACACCAUGAGAGUUGGGGAUACCCAAAGCCCGUGAGCCAACUUAUAAAGAGGCAGCGGUCUAAGGUAGAAUCAAUGAUUGGGUGAAGUCGUAACAAGGUAUC
rnacentral:rRNA from 1 species